rnacentral:rRNA from 1 species
GACGAACGCUGGCGGCGUGCUUAACACAUGCAAGUCGAACGGAAAGACCCUGCUUUUGUGGGGUGCUCGAGUGGCGAACGGGUGAGUAACACGUGAGUAACCUGCCCUUGACUUUGGGAUAACUUCAGGAAACUGGGGCUAAUACCGGAUAGGAGCUCCUGCUGCAUGGUGGGGGUUGGAAAGUUUCGGCGGUUGGGGAUGGACUCGCGGCUUAUCAGCUUGUUGGUGGGGUAGUGGCUUACCAAGGCUUUGACGGGUAGCCGGCCUGAGAGGGUGACCGGCCACAUUGGGACUGAGAUACGGCCCAGACUCCUACGGGAGGCAGCAGUGGGGAAUAUUGCACAAUGGGCGGAAGCCUGAUGCAGCAACGCCGCGUGCGGGAUGACGGCCUUCGGGUUGUAAACCGCUUUCACCUGUGACGAAGCGUGAGUGACGGUAAUGGGUAAAGAAGCACCGGCUAACUACGUG